rnacentral:rRNA from 1 species
AGAGUUUGAUCCUGGCUCAGAUUGAACGCUGGCGGCAUGCCUUACACAUGCAAGUCGAGCGGCAGCGCGGGGGCAACCCUGGCGGCGAGCGGCGCACGGGUGAGUAAUGCAUCGGAACGUGUCCUCUUGUGGGGGAUAACCAGUCGAAAGACUGGCUAAUACCGCAUGAGCACGAGAGUGGAAAGCGGGGGACCGUAAGGCCUCGCGCGAGAGGAGCGGCCGAUGCCGGAUUAGCUAGUUGGUGGGGUAAAAGCCUACCAAGGCGACGAUCCGUAGCUGGUUUGAGAGAACGACCAGCCACACUGGGACUGAGACACGGCCCAGACUCCUACGGGAGGCAGCAGUGGGGAAUUUUGGACAAUGGGGGCAACCCUGAUCCAGCCAUGCCGCGUGUGUGAAGAAGGCCUUCGGGUUGUAAAGCACUUUCGGCCGGAACGAAAUCGCGCGGAUAAUAUUCCGCGUGGAUGACGGACCGGAAGAAGAGGACCCGU